rnacentral:lncRNA from 1 species
UGAAUUUGCAUGUGAGCAGUUGUUCACCCGUGACGAAUAUGCCUCUGACUCUGGCUAUACCAGCUCCACAUUGGAUCCCAUUUCCUGAAAUACAAGAUGAAAUAACGUGAACACAUAUACUACCACGUAUUUGCACAAUCACAUUGGUAUUUACACAACUAGUCAACCAGGCACAUUACAAAUUUUACAAAGUACAUGAGCAUAGGGA